CAGUAGCCACGGGAACACGGAGGGGGCUAGCGUUGUUCGGAAUUACUGGGCGUAAAGCGCACGUAGGCGGCUUUGUAAGUUAGAGGUGAAAGCCUGGGGCUCAACUCCAGAAUUGCCUUUAAGACUGUAUCGCUUGAACGUCGGAGAGGUGAGUGGAACUGCGAGUGUAGAGGUGAAAUUAGUAGAUAUUCGCGAGAACACCAGUGGCGAAGGCGGCUCACUGGCCCGGUACUGACGCUGAGGCGCGAAAGCGUGGGAGCAAACAGGAUUAGAUACCCCCGUAGUCCCUGUCUCUUAUACA
rnacentral:rRNA from 1 species